GUCUCCAUUUCAAAAAUGAAAAAAUGAAGAUCAAAAUCGUCGAUCUCGGAGUCCUCAAAGAAGGGAUCGACAAACCUUACCUCCAAGGCAUUAUACUAACUACACGCUUUUAAAUAUUUCCAGAGGGGAGGUAUUGAUGGAGGUUCGAGCCGAGCUGCCUUAGCCUUUGAGGAUGCGAAUGAAGUCAGAGCACCACCACGAUCUAAAUAAAUACUGCUUCCACCAUUGUGACCAC
rnacentral:lncRNA from 1 species